rnacentral:lncRNA from 12 species
UGAGAUCUUAUUUUAGAUAAACAUCAAAUCUUUGAUCCUCACUCAUUUCAUUUCUCAAACGUGGCUCCAAAUAAAUGUUCGGUUUUCCUUUCCAAAGAUUAAAUUCAACAUUCCAGGAGGUGUGAGCUGCUGUCCGAGUCCAGUGAGUGAUGGAAUAAUCAGUAAUCUAAUGAUGGACGUGAAGACUUUCACCAGGAGUCAGUCUCGUGCCAGGUGCCCGGGGUCGGGGCCCUGCCUGCACAGAGCUCUCGGCCUUGCCCACCUUCUAGCGAGGACCCACGCGAGCCGGCCGUCACCAUGAAGCACCAUAAAGGCUGUGCGAUUCCCAGAAGCCUGCCCCCAGAAAUUCCAUCUCAGCAUAUGCCCUGGCCUCACCACGUCGUCAGUGCUGAGACGUGUUGACAACACGAAGAAUUUCCACCCACGGAGACUUGUG